UACGUAGGUGGCGAACGUUAUCCGGAAUCAUUGGGCGUAAAGGGUGCGUAGAUGGCAUGAUAAGUUAUUAGUGGGAAAUCGAGGCUCAACCUCGUGGAAGCUAGUAAUACUGUUUUGCUUGAGUACAGAAGAGGUUAACGGAACUCCAUGUGGAGCGGUAAAAUGCGUAGAUAUAUGGAAGAACACCAAUAACGGCGAAGGCAGUUAACUAUUCUGUUACUGACAUUGAGGCACGAAAGCGUGGGGAGCAAAACGG
rnacentral:rRNA from 1 species